GAUGAAGAACGUAGCGAAAUGCGAUACUUGGUGUGAAUUGCAGAAUCCCGUGAACCAUCGAGUCUUUGAACGCAAGUUGCGCCUCAAGCCAUUAGGUUGAGGGCACGUCUGCCUGGGCGUCACAUAUCGUUGCCUGAUGCCAGUUUCCUCGUGAUGGGUGACUGUGCAGGGCGAAUGAUGGCUUCCCGUGAGCAUUGUUGCCUCAUGGUUGGUUGAAAAUUGAGUCCUUGGUAGGGAGCGCCGUGAUAGAUGGUGGUUGAGUGACGAACGAGACCCAAUCAUGUGAGACCCCUACCGAAUUUGGCCUUCAUGACCCACAUGCGUCUUUGGAACGCUCAUGACGAGACCUCAGGUCAGGCGAGGCUACCCGCUGAGUUUAAGCAUAUCAAUAAGCGGAGGA
rnacentral:misc_RNA from 1 species